AGCGAACGUUAGCGGCGCGCCUAACACAUGCAAGUCGCACGAGAAACGGAGCAAUCCGCGGUACAGUGGCGCACGGGUGAGUAACACGUGGAUGACCUUCCCUGGAGUGGUGGAUAACCUGCCGAAAGGCGGGCUAAUACAGCAUGGGACCACGACGCUUUGGCGAUGUGGUGAAAGCGGGCCUCUAUAUAUAAGCUCGCGCUCCGGGACGGGUCCGCGUCCCAUCAGCUAGUUGGUGAGGUAACGGCUCACCAAGGCUUCGACGGGUAGCUGGUCUGAGAGGAUGGCCAGCCACACUGGAACUGAGACACGGUCCAGACUCCUACGGGAGGCAGCAGUGGGGAAUCUUGCGCAAUGGGCGAAAGCCUGACGCAGCGACGCCGCGUGGGCGAAGAAGGCCUUCGGGUUGUAAAGCCCUGGUGGGGAGAACGAACCGUACGGGGGCGAAUACCCUCCGUGCCUGACGGUACUCCUUUAGCAAGCAUCGGCUAACUCUGUG
rnacentral:rRNA from 1 species